AGAGUUUGAUCCUGGCUCAGGAUGAACGCUGGCGGCGUGCCUAAUACAUGCAAGUCGAACGCUUCACUUCGGUGAAGAGUGGCGAACGGGUGAGUAAUACAUAAGUAACCUGGCCUUUACAGGGGGAUAACUAUUGGAAACGAUAGCUAAGACCGCAUAGGUGUGGAGAUCGCAUGAACUGCACAUGAAAUAUGCUACGGCAUAGGUAGAGGAUGGACUUAUGGCGCAUUAGCUAGUUGGAGGGGUAACGGCCCACCAAGGCGACGAUGCGUAGCCGACCUGAGAGGGUGACCGGCCACACUGGGACUGAGACACGGCCCAGACUCCUACGGGAGGCAGCAGUAGGGAAUUUUCGGCAAUGGGGGAAACCCUGACCGAGCAACGCCGCGUGAAGGAAGAAGUAAUUCGUUAUGUAAACUUCUGUCAUAGAGGAAGAACGAUGGGUAUAGGGAAUGAUAUCCAAGUGACGGUACUCUAUAAGAAAGCCACGGCUAACUACGUGCCAGCAGCCGCGGUAAUACGUAGGUGGCGAGCGUUAUCCGGAAUUAUUGGGCGUAAAGAGGGAGCAGGCGGCACUAAGGGUCUGUGGUGAAAGAACGAAGCUUAACUUCGGUAAGCCAUGGAAACCGUAGAGCUAGAGUGUGUGAGAGGAUCGUGGAAUUCCAUGUGUAGCGGUGAAAUGCGUAGAUAUAUGGAGGAACACCAGUGGCGAAGGCGACGAUCUGGCGCAUAACUGACGCUCAGUCCCGAAAGCGUGGGGAGCAAAUAGGAUUAGAUACCCUAGUAGUCCACGCCGUAAACGAUGAGUACUAAGUGUUGGGGGUCAAACCUCAGUGCUGCAGUUAACGCAAUAAGUACUCCGCCUGAGUAGUACGUUCGCAAGAAUGAAACUCAAAGGAAUUGACGGGGGCCCGCACAAGCGGUGGAGCAUGUGGUUUAAUUCGAAGCAACGCGAAGAACCUUA
rnacentral:rRNA from 1 species